rnacentral:rRNA from 1 species
GACGAACGCUGGCGGCGUGCCUAAUACAUGCAAGUCGAGCGGACUUGAAGGAGCUUGCUCCUGAUGGUCAGCGGCGGACGGGUGAGUAACACGUGGGCAACCUGCCUGUAAGACUGGGAUAACUUCGGGAAACCGGAGCUAAUACCGGAUACGUUCUUUUCUCGCAUGAGAGAAGAUGGAAAGACGGUUUCGGCUGUCACUUACAGAUGGGCCCGCGGCGCAUUAGCUAGUUGGUGGGGUAAUGGCCCACCAAGGCGACGAUGCGUAGCCGACCUGAGAGGGUGAUCGGCCACACUGGGACUGAGACACGGCCCAGACUCCUACGGGAGGCAGCAGUAGGGAAUCUUCCGCAAUGGACGAAAGUCUGACGGAGCAACGCCGCGUGAGUGAAGAAGGUUUUCGGAUCGUAAAACUCUGCUGUCAGGGAAGAACAAGUACCAUAGUAACUGAUGGUACCUUGACGGUACCUGACCAGAAAGCCACGGCUAACUACGUGCCAGCCGCCGCUGUAAUAC